AAAAUUUUAGUUUAUUAAAAAAUAUUUCAUUUACAAUGGAAAGAUUGAUGAUUUGUAAAUAUAUUUAUUAAAAUUUUA
rnacentral:tRNA from 1 species